rnacentral:rRNA from 1 species
UACGGGGGGGGCAAGCGUUGUUCGGAAUUAUUGGGCGUAAAGGGCGCGUAGGCGGCUUUGCAAGUGACGGGUGAAAUCCCUCGGCUUAACCGAGGAACUGCCUGUCAGACUGCAUGGCUUGAGACCGGGAGAGGUGAGUGGAAUUCCCAGUGUAGCGGUGAAAUGCGUAGAUAUUGGGAGGAACACCAGUGGCGAAGGCAGGUCUCUGGGCCACUACUGACGCUGAGAAGCGAAAGCAUGGGGAGCGAACAGG